UAAUUUAAAUUAAAGUUUAAAUAAUUUGGUGACUGGCUGCAGUUGAAGUCUCAGAUAAGCCGAAAGGGAUCGCUGUAGGCGCUGCUAAAGAGUGUGUGCACACACUCUGUCACGUGCUUCUUACGCUCUGAAACCCCUCCGGAGAGCAAAGAGUGAUGACGGCGUUACACAGUGCGAGCACACUCAGACUUUAGACAGGAGAGUCACAGAAAGGAGAGGAGAAAAGGGAGAGAGAAGGUUGGACGCAGGAAGCGGCCUCUACAUGACAGACUGAUGAGAUGAAACUGAUAUGAUAGACCUGUUCAGAGAGUCCGCUUCACAUCGGAACUUUCUUUAAGAGUUUUCAAAAGUCUCUCUUUUUUAAAAUAUUGGUUAUGUAAAAUGCAACUUAAUUAGUAAAGUAGGAGCAUGUUUCUUUAUUAAUAGAAGCUCAUUUUUUUAGUGAACUGAUUUUUUAAAUUCUUUUUUAUUUUUAUCGUAUUUAGUAAGAUGUUUGUUGCAAGUGUUGGAGAGUGUGUGUCAUGUUGUCUUGAUGCGUUUUGUUUCAGAGUCGGCUCCCUGAAGUAGGAGCCAUAAUUUGAAGAUCCCACCGCCUUUAAAAGGAGCGGGGUUACAGCAGCUGCCACCGCCUCUCAGCACCGCGCAGAUAAAGAAGGAGAUCCAUGAUGUGGACAUCUUCUCAAGUCACCAAGCAAUGAACACACACUCCUUCAAGCUCCAAACACACUACAAACACACUUCAUUUUCAUUUACUUGACUUAAUUGUCAGUAAUUGCCUCCUUCCUCAUUUUUGUGAAUGCCUUUUAUGAAUGACCACUUUGUAAUUAUCAAAUUGGUUUGUGUUCUGGAACAGAAAAAAACAAACAAACGAUCUGGAACCUGAUGAGCUGUUAUGAGUUUUAAGGGGAACAAGUUUGUUUUCUCUUUACUUCUUCAGUGACUUAAAUGAAGAUGCAUGUUGUGAGAGUGAGUGUGUGCUUCCUCUUGAUGGGGUUUCUGUACCCAUGCACAUCCCACCCUCACUGCCCGCAAUCCCCCCACCAAGCUGAAUGGCAGACCUCUGGAUUGGCUAAGUGAUGAAAUGAUGACCCCAUUAUGAGAAGUGAUUCCAAAAUGAGAAGUAUCAGACAAAGACUGCACACCCCUCUCUCCCUCUCUCUCUCUCUUUUUCUCUCUAUCUUUUUAGCUGCAGCACCGUCCUCCAGCAGCCUGCCAGCUGAGCAAAUGAUGAUUGAUUUGCCUGAGAAGGAUCACAGGAAGCAACCAUUGAUUUCUUUCUCCUUUUUUUCUGUUUUCUUCUUUUGGUGUUUUAUUAGAAAUAUUUAUUUACCCCUGUAUCUGUGGGGUGUAUCAAGAUUCACUUCGUAUGGCAGAAGCUAUAAGUGGGAUAAUUCACACUUCUUCAUCUGAAGACGAACGACCUGAAGUUCUGUAUUCCUUCAUAAAUGAGUCAAUAGAGUCACUGAGUAAAUGAAUAUUGAUUGAAUAAUGCCUGAGUGUGAAUAUGAGCUCUUGCAGUGACCCUUCCUUCAGACUUAACUACAGACAUCCUUAGUGAUGCCAAAAUUUUACAACAACGUAUCUUAUGAAGGGACAGCUAAAAAAAAGUCUUUUAUAGUACAUUUAUUUUGGAAAUACAUUUUAAAACGUUAGUAUUAUAUUAUUAAUAUUCAUUGUUAUUCAUUGGAUAUAUUCCAGACAGUUAAUUAUGUUAACUUUGAUAAUUAUAGCUUGCAGCUAAUAAAAACCUAAAAUUAAAUUUCUCCAAAAAUUCAUAUUGGAAACACAAGUUAAAUGUAAUUAAUGUAUUUUUUUCUUCACAAUUCUCUCAAGGCAUAGCUUGAGACAGACUUUCUUCUGUCACACUUUUUCCUUCCACUAAACUUUUCAAUCAUAUGUUUGGAUACAGCUAAUUGUGAAGAACUACCUUCUUUAGAAAUGGCUUGAUGUAGAUUAUCUGUUUGUUGAGGGUGUCAGUGCUUAUUUGCUACAUGCAGUAUACAUGUUAAGUUAGCUGAAGUCCUCUACAGGAUUUUGUGUUCCAUACCAUAAAAUAAUAUUUCUGUAUUCAUGUGUUUGUUUGUUGUGUAACAAUAUAAUUGUCUGCAAGACUAAAUUUUGGGGUUUUGCUGUAAGCUGUAAUCAUCAAAAUGACCAGAAUUGAUUCAAAUAUAUUAAUUAGUGUUUAUUUAAUCUAUAUAAUAACUGUUUACUUUUUAAAAAUGUAAUUACUGAGAUAAAUAACUUUUUAAAAUAUUUUAUAUACAAGCUUUGAGACACACCUGUACGCUACAGCUGGAAACCAAAGAAGAAAAACAUGAACAGUUAUUCCCCCUUCUCUCUGGUAGUACUUGUUUGUUUCAGCUUAAUUGAUCCAACCAGAAGUACAUUUUGUUUUGAAGAUGCCAUCACGUAAUAAUCCUAUUCUACCUUAAAGCUCAUGAGAUGCGCACAAAGGAGGAAAGUCUGUUGCUUCACAAAACGUAAGGCGAUACAAUGUGCAAAUCCAAUGAGUGCCAAAACACUGAAACCACAGUGUGGGAGCAGUGUCCCAGAUAUUUGCUCUGACUUAAUCCAAUUGAAAUAGUAUGAGUGAGUUGCAGGGGCUCCCAGGUCUGUUUCUUGCUUAUGUAUGUGAUGCAUAAUAGAAGUUGACGAGGUUGGUGAUAGAUCACAGCCCAGGUAAUGUAAACACAUUAAUCCCUCAGGGUUCAUGUGCAUGUUCUUUCUCUUGUUUGCUCUCUUCUAUCUGCCUCUCCUUAUACUGAGACCCCCCCCCCCCCCUCCAGACCCACCUCAACUCCAACCCACCCACCUCAGCCCUACCUCCACCUCCACUACCCCCUCCACACCCCCAUUUACUCCCCAGUGUUCAUCAUCUUCCCUAAAUGCGUUAGUGGAGCACAAACCAGAAGCAGCCUUAAUCUGUCAACAUGCCCUUUAAUUGGAAGGAGAAAACAACAUGUGCUCCUGGUUGUGCCAUUCCUAAGUGCACAUGCCAAAGAAAUACAGCGGUCACGGAAGAAGUGAUCCCGGGAGAGUGGGGCAUAAUUAAAAGUAUCUUUUAAUAAGCUUGUAAUGCUGAGCCUGACUCUUGUUGCCCUAAGCAGAGUGCAAAAAUCUGUGGCUGGAGACGGACAUGUGAAGGGGGCUUCUCUAAGGGAGCCUGUAAACGAUACACUGCCUCCACCGUCAUCAGACAUGCUGUCUCCGCCUGAGUCACCGCGCUGAGGACAACAGCCACUUUCAGCCCCUGCUGCGGACACGUCGGCUCACCAGCUAACCGUGUUCCUUUGUUCUCCGAAUGAGAGAUUCUCCUCCCCAACACAUCAGCUCUCCAACUCCCCGUCCCCCGUGUAGCUUUGCCAACUUCUGCUCUACCUCCAACUCACAACACCAGUGGGGAGUGAGAACUGGGAUUAAGGGGUUGAUUUUGGGCCUGCUACACUGUAAUCAAAUGAGACUGCUUAGGGGAGAGGAGUAGAAGGAGGAGGUGGAGUAUUAUGUUCUGUAACGCAUUCCACUGCAGCUGUUUUUUUUUUUUGUUUUUGUUAGGGCAGACUUUGAUGCCGUAUCCCCUUACCUUUGUAGUCCCGGUAGCCAUGUUUCAUAAACACAGAAUAGGAAACAUCCUCGGCAUUAGAAAUGUAGAUUGCCGCUUUCCUCUCCGCCACUCUGCAUUCCGCACAUGCCCGGUCGCAUUCUCCAUCUCCCAGCACCGGGGUAUUAAGUUUCGUCUCCCCUGCCUCUGAUACAUUUAAACAUUUCACAAUCAGCCCCAGUGAUUUAGAGUGUCAUGUAUAAUCUGUGGCAACAACAAUGCCAGCUUCGCUUUAUAUCCUUGUAAGUGUUGUAUUUUUUUCACUUUUUUAUUUUCUGUUUCAGGACAGCUGCACUUGCUAAAACACUUAAUUCAUGGAGGCCAAGAAGCUAGCAUUAGAGCAAUUUCGAAUUUGUCUUCAUGAUUGAGGAUAUUAUAUUAAUACUGAGCUGCUCAUUCUGUAGAGUCCCCUCUUGCUUUGUAUUAUCACACAGGGAAUUGUCUGGUCUCACUUCUCUUUGUAGUUAACUGAAACCCUCCAUGGGAUUGAGUGUAAUUGUAUUUCUAAAUCUAACUCAUUAAAAGCCAAACUCUUCAGUUCUCCUGCCCACAUAUCAUAUUUUUGUCUCACUGCAGUCUUUACGUUAUUCCCUACUCUCAUGAGAGUACUUUCACACAUGAUUUAAUAUUUAAAUGUCAGUCCUGUGAAUCAUUUAAAAUAAUUCAAUUAUCCCCCACAUGAGUUUUUUUUUUUUUGACAAGGCACAGAGUCCUCUUUUUUUUUCUUCUUCUUUUUUACCCAUCAGAAAUGUUCUCCGUUGUCUUCUUCUGUUUUGUCCAACAUCUGACACACUGCCCUCAGUGAUUGAACCAGAUGUGGAAAUCCAAAGAGGAGAUGCUCCCCCUAAUACCUGACACCUGGUGCAGAUUUGGAAGAGAUUGCACUGCAGUUACACCAACACCCUGGGUCAGGAGAUGAUUUAAAACCAAAUGUGUUGUUUUCUGGAGUUCCGUCUCAUCUGCAGGCUGCACUGGGACAGAACAAAAAGCCAACAUCAACACAUAAAGGACAUCAAAUCCUGGCAAACCUGUGAUAUCUGAGCUAGGUGAUCACAAUGCACCUUCUUGUCAUCUGACCCGGGAAUGGGCAGGCAUUAUUUGGUCCAAGUUGGAACAUUAUGCUCAAGAGCUGCAAAACAGACCAGAUACAACUAGUGGUACAGCGCUGUGGAUAUUUUGUCAUGUUAUCACCAAAAUUUCAAUGUAUUUCAAGAAAAAUAAUACAUAUUUUUUUUAAUAUUUCACUUAGACAAAUCUAACCCUUUUACCAUAUAUUUGCAUUUAGCUGCCUGAGUCAGCUCUUUGUAGAAUCACAUUUUGCUGCAAUUUUCAGCGAAACUCUUUUGGAGAAUGGCUCCACCAGCCCUCUAUAUCAACAGAAAGCAAUUUUUGCCAAUUUCUCUUUGUAGUUUAAUCACGCUCAUUUUGGAGCAUCAGCCAUUUUGAUGUCACAAACACUGCCAAUUUACUUUUGAGCUGGAAUUUGGCUAGAACAUGCAAAACCUGAAUGCAUUUGAUUUAAACUAUUUAUUUGUAGGUCUAGCUGUAUCUUUAGGGUCAUAAUCUAUUUGGAAAGUUAACCUCACCCCAGCCUGAAGCCAUUAUGGGGUAGGGUGUGUGUGGUAUUAGUUUUGUUCCACACGAGUUAUGUACGCAGGUCAAAAAUUAAUAAUGUUCGUUUUGUCUGACCAAAGAACCUUCUAUUGAAAGUCUGGUACAUGACUUCAUACAUGGUUCUUUCCACAAAGGGUUUCUUUUUGUUAUUCCUUGUUAGUGUCUGUACUUUUCAAGCAUACAACUAAUAGUUUCCCUGUCAGUGGAUUAUCCCUCUUGAGUUGUUGAUCUCUGUUACUCAUCCAGAGAGACCAUAAACCUUUUGCUGCUUUUCUGAUUAAAGUUCCCCUUGCCAGGGCUUUUAAAUUUA